UGAGGACCUGAGGCACAGAUGCUAACCAGCUUGCUGGAGAUCACACACUCAUGAGUGGCAGAGUGGGGCUUGGAACCGGGUAGCCUGGCUCUGGAGCCCUCACUCCAUCCACACACCAUGCUGGGACCCAGUCGAGUGACCAGCAGACCGGUUGUGUGGGUUAGGUGGAAUGGUGGAUAUAAACCACACAGCCCAGCUCCUGACCCAUGCUGGGCCCUCAACUUAAUUGCUGCCUAGAGCUCAUAGAAGGAUCUCACAGCACUGCUCCAGGGCACUGAAGCUUACAGUGAAAGCACAUUUUCAGCAAGUACUGAAGAUUGUCUCCACGUUGGCUGGUUUGAAACUGUGAUCUUUUGAAUGUAAUCCAGGAAAGGAAUGGAAAGGAAAGAAGUGCUCAGAAAGCUCCCAGAAGCAUUUUGGCACUCACCAAAGCAGCCGGAAGAUGAAUAACACAGUGGGGAUAGAUGGCUAACAAGAAGCCCCUCUCCGGAUGCCGGCCCCUCUUGGACUUCCCAGCUUCCAGAAUUGUGUAUGUUUAAGCUCAGGCUGGAAAAGGAUCACUGAAAGUCACUUGGAUGGUGUCUCGUGUGUCUGUGAUGAGCUUGCUGUUGCUUUCUUUCUCCUUGACAGAUGAGAAAACAGUGGCUUCAAAGGUUAAACAACUUGUCUUCGAUUGCACAGCUAACAAGAG
rnacentral:lncRNA from 10 species